rnacentral:tRNA from 1 species
GCCCAGGUGUUGAAACUGGUAGACAAGCCACUUUGAGGUGGUGGUGCUCGUAAAGGGCGUGCUGGUUCGAAUCCAGUCCUGGGCA